UACGUAGGGCGCAAGCGUUAUCCGGCAUUAUUGGGCGUAAAGAGCUCGUAGGCGGUUUGUCGCGUCUGCCGUGAAAGUCCGGGGCUCAACUCCGGAUCUGCGGUGGGUACGGGCAGACUAGAGUGAUGUAGGGGAGACUGGAAUUCCUGGUGUAGCGGUGAAAUGCGCAGAUAUCAGGAGGAACACCGAUGGCGAAGGCAGGUCUCUGGGCAUUAACUGACGCUGAGGAGCGAAAGCAUGGGGAGCGAAUGGG
rnacentral:rRNA from 1 species